rnacentral:rRNA from 1 species
UACGAAGGGUGCAAGCGUUACUCGGAAUUACUGGGCGUAAAGCGUGCGUAGGUGGUUUGUUAAGUCUGUUGUGAAAGCCCCGGGCUCAACCUGGGAAUGGCAAUGGAUACUGGCAAGCUAGAGUGCGGUAGAGGGUAGUGGAAUUCCCGGGUGUAGCGGUGAAAUGCGUAGAGAUCGGGAGGAACACCAGUGGCGAAGGCGGCGAUCUGGGCAGAUACUGACGCUGAGGUGCGAAAGCGUGGGGAGCAAACAGG